rnacentral:rRNA from 1 species
AGAGUUUGAUCAUGGCUCAGAUUGAACGCUGGCGGCAGGCCUAACACAUGCAAGUCGAACGGUAACAGGAAGAAGCUUGCUUCUUUGCUGACGAGUGGCGGACGGGNGAGUAAUGUCUGGGAAACUGCCUGAUGGAGGGGGAUAACUACUGGAAACGGUAGCUAAUACCGCAUAACGUCGCAAGACCAAAGAGGGGGACCUUCGGGCCUCUUGCCAUCGGAUGUGCCCAGAUGGGAUUAGCUUGUUGGUGGGGUAACGGCUCACCAAGGCGACGAUCCCUAGCUGGUCUGAGAGGAUGACCAGCCACACUGGAACUGAGACACGGUCCAGACUCCUACGGGAGGCAGCAGUGGGGAAUAUUGCACAAUGGGCGCAAGCCUGAUGCAGCCAUGCCGCGUGUAUGAAGAAGGCCUUCGGGUUGUAAAGUACUUUCAGCGGGGAGGAAGGGAGUAAAGUUAAUACCUUUGCUCAUUGACGUUACCCGCAGAAGAAGCACCGGCUAACUCCGUGCCAGCAGCCGCGGUAAUACGGAGGGUGCAAGCGUUAAUCGGAAUUACUGGGCGUAAAGCGCACGCAGGCGGUUUGUUAAGUCAGAUGUGAAAUCCCCGGGCUCAACCUGGGAACUGCAUCUGAUACUGGCAAGCUUGAGUCUCGUAGAGGGGGGUAGAAUUCCAGGUGUAGCGGUGAAAUGCGUAGAGAUCUGGAGGAAUACCGGUGGCGAAGGCGGCCCCCUGGACGAAGACUGACGCUCAGGUGCGAAAGCGUGGGGAGCAAACAGGAUUAGAUACCCUGGUAGUCCACGCCGUAAACGAUGUCGACUUGGAGGUUGUGCCCUUGAGGCGUGGCUUCCGGAGCUAACGCGUUAAGUCGACCGCCUGGGGAGUACGGCCGCAAGGUUAAAACUCAAAUGAAUUGACGGGGGCCCGCACAAGCGGUGGAGCAUGUGGUUUAAUUCGAUGCAACGCGAAGAACCUUACCUGGUCUUGACAUCCACAGAACUUUCCAGAGAUGGAUUGGUGCCUUCGGGAACUGUGAGACAGGUGCUGCAUGGCUGUCGUCAGCUCGUGUUGUGAAAUGUUGGGUUAAGUCCCGCAACGAGCGCAACCCUUAUCCUUUGUUGCCAGCGGUCCGGCCGGGAACUCAAAGGAGACUGCCAGUGAUAAACUGGAGGAAGGUGGGGAUGACGUCAAGUCAUCAUGGCCCUUACGACCAGGGCUACACACGUGCUACAAUGGCGCAUACAAAGAGAAGCGACCUCGCGAGAGCAAGCGGACCUCAUAAAGUGCGUCGUAGUCCGGAUUGGAGUCUGCAACUCGACUCCAUGAAGUCGGAAUCGCUAGUAAUCGUGGAUCAGAAUGCCACGGUGAAUACGUUCCCGGGCCUUGUACACACCGCCCGUCACACCAUGGGAGUGGGUUGCAAAAGAAGUAGGUAGCUUAACCUUCGGGAGGGCGCUUACCACUUUGUGAUUCAUGACUGGGGUGAAGUCGUAACAAGGUAACCGUAGGGGAACCUGCGGUUG